rnacentral:rRNA from 1 species
GACGAACGCUGGCGGCGUGCUUAACACAUGCAAGUCGAACGGAAAGGCCUGCUUUCCCUUGUGGAUUGCGGGUACUCGAGUGGCGAACGGGUGAGUAACACGUGAGUGAUCUGCCCCCAACUUGGGUAUAAGCCUGGGAAACUGGGUCUAAUUCCCGAUAGGACUGCAGGGUGGUGCCUGUGGUGGAAAACGAUUUUCGAGUGGUUGGGGAUGAGCUCGCGGCCUAUCAGCUUGUUGGUGGGGUAAUGGCCUACCAAGGCGGCGACGGGUAGCCGGCCUGGGAGGGUGGACGGCCACAUUGGGACUGAGAUACGGCCCAGACUCCUACGGGAGGAAGCAGUGGGGAAUAUUGCACAAUGGGCGGAAGCCUGAUGCAGCGACGCCGCGUGGGGGAUGACGGCCUUCGGGUUGUAAACUCCUUUCGACCGCGAGGAAGCCACCUGGUUGGAAGGGUGGUGACGGUAGUGGUAGAAGAAGCACCGGCUAACUACGUG